rnacentral:tRNA from 1 species
GCUGUCAUAGCUCAGUCGGUAGAGCGCGUCCCCGGUAAGGACGAGGUCAUCGGUUCGAUCCCGAUUGACAGCACCA